rnacentral:rRNA from 1 species
UACGGAGGAUGCGAGCGUUAUCCGGAUUUAUUGGGUUUAAAGGGUGCGUAGGUUGUUUUUUAAGUCAGCGGUGAAAGUUUGUGGCUCAACCAUAAAAUUGCCGUUGAAACUGGAAGACUUGAGUGUGUUUGAGGUAGGCGGAAUGCGUGGUGUAGCGGUGAAAUGCAUAGAUAUCACGAAGAACUCCGAUUGCGAAGGCAGCUUACCAGUCUGCGACUGACGCUCAGGCACGAAAGUGUGGGUAUCGAACAGG